GUGGCAUCUCUGCCUUUUGGCUAAGAUCAUUUGUAAAAUCUGUUCUUAUCAGUUUAAUAUUUUAUACGUCCCGUAUCUAGGGACCGUGUAUUAACUUGAUGUUUGGUACGAAUAUUAUGCCACUAUUCCCAUCAUGUGUAGUCUUUCUGCUGACUGGAUAGCGCGCAGCAAAAGCUUUUCACU